GUUUAAAAGUACGACAGAUUGCAGAUCUAUAUGGUGUAUCAGAGAAGAUGCUCACAAGGUAAAUGAGCCAGUUUGAUAUACGGUAAGCUGCAACGGCUGUAUUAGUUUAGAUACUUUGACGUGGAAUGCCUAAAGCAGCUCCAACUAAUAUUUUGAACUGAGUAUUUGACCCUUGAUUUAUGAGUAUAAAGUCAGAUGCAUAUUCGCAGCUGCUUUUUCAAAGAACUUUUCAGCUCUGAGCAGUGGAAAACAUGAUACUUUCUUAUCUACCACACGGAUCUGUGAUAUUUAGCAUGCAGGCAGUGUGAAAGGCUUUAAUCACUUUUGGCCAUCAGACGUUUAGCAGUUUUAUGAUAAUGAGCACCCUGAUUUAACACUAAUGCAACUGCAAUUUAACCAAAGUGUGCUUUUUGUCAGAAAACUUUCACAAGUUAGAUGGCCCAAUGCAAUUUAAGCAGUGUGAUCCACGUUUUACAGGUAAUUGAACUAGUUUACCCACAUUGAACUAAGCAAAAUCUAAUUUACAGAAAGGAUGUCUAAUGGUAAACGUUAUGUGGUCAAACCCUUUAAAGUGUCUGCUCUCACAGAUUAGAGCUGCAUAGUUGUGUGUGUAGCCAGUCAAAUAACUUAAGUCACAUUUAUUUUGCAGUGUUUCAGACCUUUAUUCCCAAAUCUCUCUAACAUUCAAAGAUAUCACCCAGACAUGGGAUACAAGAUGAUACAUGGGCAUCUGAAAUCACAAGGAAUACGAUUCCCAGUUGCCAGGGUGCAAAAAUCAGUGUGCAGAGUGGAUCCAGAGGGGGUUGUGAUGAGAACCUUUAGGCUGCAUACAUUAAGACGCUGUCCGUAUUCUGUUCCUGGACCUAAUUGUCUGUGGCACAUACUGUAGAUGGCAACCACAAGCUGAUCAGUGAAACAAUUUGGCUUACCAUCUAGAGUUUGAUCAGACAAGGGUGGAGAACUUGUUGGUGUAGCAGAACUCAUGGUUCAGAGAAGAGGAGUCAAUAGGAAUUUACACAUCGCAGGUAGAAGCGUACACAACCAAAGAAUUGAGAGGAUGUGGAGAGAUGUGUGAGCAUGUACUUGACCUUUUCUACUCCAUAUUUUUCACAUUGGAAAGACGGCAACUUCUUGAGCCAGACAAUGAGCUUCAUUUGUUCUCACUGCACUGGAAUUUCCUUCCAUUAAUACAAAGGAACCUUAAUUCCUUCCAGAAUGCCUGGAAGCACCACGGCCUGCAAAGUGAAGGAAACCAAACUCCUUUACAGCUGUGGAUGGGACGCUUGGCACAAGAUCUAGAUGACCCCACAGAGGUACUGAUUGUAGUUUGCAUUAUACUGAAAUUUUCUGUACAAUAACACAUUCAUGGAAUCUAACAAAAGAAUCUGGAUUCUAGGGGGGGAAUGAAAUUUGAUAUUUUUCCCAUUUCUGGGGACCACUAUAACCAGGAGAUAUUGUCAUGAUCAAUUUUCAACAAACUUCAGAAUAAAAACAAUGAGUAACCAGUUGGGAGUUUAUACUUGUG